UGGUAUUCUUACGAGUUCCUUUUGGAGGAGAAUAACAGCAUUCAUAAGGCUGAAUGGUUUGUUUAACUGAAAGUGAGUGAGCUUUACCUAAAAACAUAAUGAUAAACCAAGAAUGACAGUGACAUCUCCACCUAUUACCAAGUUUAAGGAACUUUUUAUCAGUUGUCCCAUGAUUUUUAAUCAUUCUAGUUAGGUACACGUCUGGUUAGCUAGUUAGUGAGGCAAUCGCUUAUCAAAGCGAUGAUUAGUAGUUGGUCCAAGCGGAUGAUGAUUAGUAGUUGGUCCAAGCGGAUGAUCAACUACAUUGGGAUUGAGACCCGACCCACACUCCUAUGAGGGGCGGCAGUUGGGAAUUUUCCGGGAUGGGCAAAAGCCGGUAGUUGAGAAUUUCCA
rnacentral:ncRNA from 1 species